rnacentral:lncRNA from 1 species
CCCGAAUUAAAGCAGUUUUGGUACUACGAAAAGCCCUUUUAAACUUUGCCGCGGCGAGGGAAGGGUUAACGGCGCCCCUCGGCUCCGCCCGCGCCACUCUCAACCAAUCAGCGCUCUGCGCCCCGCCUCCCGCAGCCAAUCGGCGUCCUCUCUUCAAGCCGCGCCCUUUGCCCUAUCGGCUGUGUCAUUGCGGCGGUCCCCACUUCCCCGCCAUCGCCGCCUUAAGAGGAGGCCACGCCCCGCUUCCCCGCCCUCUGAACCAGCAGCCAAUCAGCGCAAAGCGCCCCGCUCCCUCAGCCAAUCGGCGCGCUAGCCCCGCCCACUAGCCGCUCAUCCAAUCAACGUUCAAUCUCUUCAAACGCCAGCAGUUUCUUGUCCGCCAGUUUGGGGGCGGGGCUUAAACAGGAAGUGCGGUAAGCCGUCAGUUUGUAGGCGGAGCUUACACAGGAAGUGCGAUUGUCCGAGUUUGGGGGCGUGGCUUAAACCGGAAGCAUAGCUGUCCAUCAGUUCUUGGGUCGUGGCUUAAACCGGAAGCACGCGUGUCCGCCAUCUUGGGGGCGUGGCUUGUCGCGCAGGGGCUGCUGGGAAUCGUAGUCCUUAAAGGGGCCACCGCCAUUUUGGGGGCGUUUUGGGGGCGAAAAACGGAGAAAUGCGGACAAAACGGGGCGGAGUUUUUACAGCGGGGGGGGCGGGGCGGCCAACAGCGCUUCCACGGACCUGAGGGCAAAGGGGGGCAGCGGCACUUAGGGGGCAGCCCCACACUUAGGGGGCGGACCCCCACUUAUGGGGCAGCCCCACACUUAUGGGGCAGACCCCCACUUAUGGGGCAGCCCCACACUUACGGGUUGGACCCACACUUAUGGGGCAGCCCCACACUUAUGGGGCAGCCCCACUUAUAGGCCAUACCCACACUUAUGGGGUCAGACCCCCACUUAUGGGUCAGACCCCCACUUAUGGGGCAGCCCCACACUUACAGGUCAGACCCCACUUAUGGGGCAGCCCCACUUAUAGGCCAUACCCACACUUAUGGGUCAGACCCCCGCUUAGGGGGCAGCCCCACACUUAUGGGGCAGCCCCACUUAUAGGCCAUACCCCCACUUAUUGGGCAGCCCCACUUAUGGGUCAGCCCCACACUUAUGGGUCGGACCCACACUUAUGGGUCGGACCCACACUUACGGGUCGGACCCCCACUUAUGGGCCGGACCCCCACUUAUGGGGCAGCCCCACACCUCAGCAUCCCCCGCAGUCUCCGCCGUCGAUCCCUCAGCGCCUGCAGCACCGCAUCCUCCACCGCCUCCGCCUCAUCCGAAUCUGUGGGGCACAGAGCAAAUGUGGGGCAGCACAUGUGGGGCUGCCCCAUAAGUGGGGGUCAGACCCAUAAGUGGGGGUAUGGCCUGUAAGUGGGGGGCUGCCCUAUAAGUGAAGGCUGCCCCAUAAGUGAAGGCUGCCCCAUAAGUGUGGGGCUGCCCCCUAAGUGUGGCUCUGCCCCACAAGUGGGGGCUGACCCCUAAGUGUGGCUCUGCCCCAUAAGUGGGGGCCGCCCCAUAAGCGUGGGUCUGACCCGUAAGUGAGGGUGACCCCUAAGUCUGGCUCUGCCCCAUAAGUGUGGGGCUGACCCAUAAGUGAAGGUAUGGCCUAUAAGUUUGGCUCUGCCCCAUAAGUGUGGGUCUGACCCAUAAGUGAGGGUGACCCCUAAGUGUGGCUCUGCCCCAUAAGUGAAGGGCUGACCCACAAGUGAAUGUACGGUCUAUAAGUGGGCUGACCCCUAAGUGUGGCUCUGCCCCAUAAGUGUGGGGCUGCCCCAUAAGUGCUCUCAGUUCUCACCCAUUGCUUCCUGCAGCAGUUCGAUGGCGGCCGCUUUCUGCCCCAUGGCGCUGCCCCACGGCGCUGGAGGGACGGUCUGCCCCAUAGAAACACACUGACCCACAGCUCCGCCCCAUAGAUCCUACAGUCCUGCCCCAUAGAUCCACAGCUCUGCCCCAUAGAUCCACAGCUCCACCCCACAGAUCUACAGUUCUGCCCCAUAGAUCUCUCUGCCCCAUGGUUCUGCCCCAUAGAUCCACAGCUCCGCCCCAUAGAUCCCACAGUUCUGCCCCAUAGAUCCCUCUGCCCCACAGCUCCGCCCCAUAGAUCCACA